UGCAGAAUCCCGUGAACCAUCGAGUCUUUGAACGCAAGUUGCGCCCGAAGCCGCUAGGCCGAGGACACGCCUGCCUGGGCGUCA
rnacentral:rRNA from 1 species